rnacentral:rRNA from 1 species
GGCUAGCGUUGUCCGGAAUCAUUGGGCGUAAAGAGCGUGUAGGCGGCCCGGUAAGUCCGCUGUAAAAGUCAAAGGCUCAACCUUUGAAUGUCAGUGGAUACUGCCGGGCUAGAGUCCGGAAGAGGCGAGUGGAACUCCUGGUGUAGCGGUGGAAUGCGCAGAUAUCAGGAAGAACACCAACGGCGAAGGCAGCUCGCUAGGACGGUACUGACGCUGAGACGCGAAAGCGUGGGGAGCGAACAGG